AUUUUUAUGACCUACUCAUACUGUAUCUACCUUUUUUAGAAUUUUCGUCUGUCUGUCUCUCUGUCGAUUAGAUUUUGUUUCAUUUAUCAAUUGUUUCUGUCAAUUGAAUCGUCUAUCACAUUUCAUUAAGCAGUCAAAAUAAGAGUGUCUAAUCUGACUUAUUUGUAACUAAGAUUAAAAAGACAAAAUUACGUAUCUUACGCAAUAUGUAAAAUAAAUGAAGAUCAUAACCUAUAAAUAAUCAUUUAUAUUAUUUAUAAACAAUUUUUGUGCAUUAACUUAUAUAAAAAAUUGGAUUCAAAAGAUAAAGAUAAGUACUUGAUUUCACUUAGUUAUCUAUAGUAAUUUUUAUUUUUGUAUGCUAAGGUAACCAAGAUUGACCAAUUCAAUAUAACUUAUCGUAAUUAAUAAUUUUAUAUUUUAGAUAUGUAUCGUUAUUAUUCGUUAUAUUUUCAUUAAAAAUGCCUAAAAAACGAAAAUCAAACUUGAGUUCAUCAUCAGCCAAAGCAAGAAGCAACAAACUUCUUCGCCUAUCUGAAACUCAAUGUGAACGAGACGAGAGACUGAAAAUUCAGAAAGAAAGGAAAAGUAAUUUACGAGCUAAUGAAACACCAGAACAAUCUGAAAUUCGCCUUGCUUCUGAUAGAAUGCAACAUGCUAAUAAGAGGAAAGUCGAAUCAGAGAUAGCUUAUGAAAGAAGAUUGGCGGAUGAUCGUGCACGCCACCUUAUUACAUAUCAUAAUGCAUCUGAUGAACGACGUAUCCACCGAUUAUCACGUGAUCGUCAACAGCACACUAUUGCACGCAAUAACGAAUCAGAUGAACAUCGUAAUCAGAGAUUGACUCACGAUCGUGAACACCAUACUUUAUCUCGCUCACAGGAAUCUAUAUUUGAUCGUGAAACUCGCCUAAUGAUCGACCGAGAACAUCACGCUCUUCAGCGACGAUCAGAAUCUGCAUUCAAACGCGAUGAAAGUAGAGCUGCAGCUAG